GAUGAACGCUGGCGGCGUGCCUAAUACAUGCAAGUCGAGCGAACAGAUGAGGAGCUUGCUCCUCUGACGUUAGCGGCGGACGGGUGAGUAACACGUGGAUAACCUACCUAUAAGACUGGGAUAACUUCGGGAAACCGGAGAUAAUACCGGAGAAUAUAUUGAACCGCAUGGUUCAAUAGUGAAAGACGGUUUUGCUGUCACUUAUAGAUGGAUCCGCGCCGCAUUAGCUAGUUGGGAAGGUAACGGCUUAUCAAGGCAACGAUGCGUAGCCGACCUGUGAGGGUGGUCGGCCACACUGGAACUGGGCCACGGUCCAGACUCCUACGGGAGGCAGCAGUAGGGAAUCUUCCGCAAUAGGCGAAAGCCUGGCGGAGCAACGCCGAGUGAGUUAUGAAGGUCUUCGGAUCGUAAAACUCUGUUAUUAGUUAAGAACAAAUGUGUAAGUAACUAUGCACGUCUUGACGGUACCUAAUCAGAAAGCCACGGCUAACUACGUG
rnacentral:rRNA from 1 species